rnacentral:rRNA from 1 species
GGAUCUGGCUUAACCAACUCUUUUUUUUAAGACAGGGUCAGCGGGGUAGGGCCUGGUUAGUACUUGGAUGGGAGACUGCCUGGGAAUGCUGGGUGCUGUAGGCU